rnacentral:misc_RNA from 1 species
UUUCCGUAGGUGAACCUGCGGAAGGAUCAUUAUCGAGUUUUGACUGGGUUGUAGCUGGCCUUCCGUGGCAUGUGCACGCCCUGCUCAUCAACUCUACACCUGUGCACUUACUGUGGGUAUCAGAUCGUGAAGCGUGCUUUUUUACCGGAGCUUGUGAAGCGUGUCUGUGCCUGCUUUUAUCACGAACACUAUAAAGUAUCAUAAUGUGUAUUACGAUGUAACGCAUCUGCAUACAACUUUCAGCAACGGAUCUCUUGGCUCUC